UACGUAGGGCGCAAGCGUUAUCCGGAAUUAUUGGGCGUAAAGAGCUCGUAGGCGGUUUGUCGCGUCUGCCGUGAAAGUCCGGGGCUCAACUCCGGAUCUGCGGUGGGUACGGGCAGACUAGAGUGAUGUAGGGGAGACUGGAAGUUCCUGGUGUAGCGGUGAAAUGCGCAGGAUAUCAGGAGGAACACCAAUGGCGAAGGCAGCUCGCUGGGGACGGUACUGACGCUGAGGCGCGAAAGCGUGGGGAGCAAACAGG
rnacentral:rRNA from 1 species